UGAGCAAUCUGCCCCUCACAUCGGAAUAACCAUUGGAAACGAUGGCUAAUACCGAAUACGACUUCGGACCGCAUGGUCUGAAGUGGAAAGCUCCGGCGGUGAAGGAUGAGCUCGCGGCCUAUCAGCUUGUUGGUGAGGUAAUAGCUCACCAAGGCGAUGACGGGUAGCCGGCCUGAGAGGGUGACCGGCCACACUGGGACUGAGACACGGCCCAGACCUCUACGGGA
rnacentral:rRNA from 1 species